rnacentral:rRNA from 1 species
GACGAACGCUGGCGGCGUGCCUAAUACAUGCCAGUAGAACGCUCACUAGAGGAGCUUACUCUUCUUCGGUGAGUUGCGAACGGGUGAGUAACGCGUAGGUACCCUGCCUUGUAGCGGGGGUUAACUUUUUGAAACGAUAGCUAAUACCGCAUAACACUUGCUGACACAUGUCCGGUAUUUGAAAGGUGCACUUGCUCGACUACAAGAUGGACCUGCGUUGUAUUAGCUAGUAGGUGAGGUAAUGGCUCACCUAGGCGACGAUACAUAGCCGACCUGAGAGGGGGAGAGGACACACUGGGACGGAGACACGGCCCAGAACACUACGGGAGGCAGAAGUAGGGGAUCUUCGGCAAUGGGGGCAAUGCGGACCGAGAAACGCCGCGCGCGAGAAGAAGGUUGCCGGAUCGUAAAGGUCGGGUGUAAGUUAAGAACGGGUGUGAGAGUGGAACGUUAACACUGUGACGGUAGCGGACGAGAAAGGGACGGCUAACUACGUG